ACUCCUACGGGAGGCAGCAGUGGGGAAUAUUGCACAAUGGGCGCAAGCCUGAUGCAGCCAUGCCGCGUGUAUGAAGAAGGCCUUCGGGUUGUAAAGUACUUUCAGCAGUGAGGAAGGUGGGUAUGUUAAUAGCAUAUUCAUUUGACGUUAGCUGCAGAAGAAGCACCGGCUAACUCCGUGCCAGCAGCCGCGGUAAUACGGAGGGUGCGAGCGUUAAUCGGAAUUACUGGGCGUAAAGCGCAUGCAGGUGGUUUGUUAAGUCAGAUGUGAAAGCCCGGGGCUCAACCUCGGAAUUGCAUUUGAAACUGGCAAACUAGAGUACUGUAGAGGGGGGUAGAAUUUCAGGUGUAGCGGUGAAAUGCGUAGAGAUCUGAAGGAUACCGGUGGCGAAGGCGGCCCCCUGGACAGAUACUGACACUCAGAUGCGAAAGCUGGGGGAGCAAACAGGGAUUAGAUACCCUCGUAGGCGUAG
rnacentral:rRNA from 1 species